rnacentral:rRNA from 1 species
UGCAAGUCGAACGGCAGCGCGUCCUUCGGGAUGGCGGCGAGUGGCGAACGGGUGACGUAUAAGCAUCGGAACGUGCCCGGUAGUGCGGGAUAGCUCGGCGAAAGCCGGAUUAAUACCGCAUGAGAUCCGUGGAUGAAAGCAGGGGACCCCUUGUGGGCCUUGCGCUACUGGAGCGGCCGAUGUCAGAUUAGGUAGUUGGUGGGGUAAAGGCCCACCAAGCCUGCGAUCUGUAGCUGGUCUGAGAGGAUGAUCAGCCACAUCGGGACUGAGACACGGCCCGAACUCCUACGGGAGGCAGCAGUGGGGAAUUUUGGACAAUGGGCGCAAGCCUGAUCCAGCCAUGCCGCGUGCAGGAUGAAGGCCCUCGGGUUGUAAACUGCUUUUGUACGGAACGAAAAGCCUCUUUCUAAUAAAGAGGGGUGAUGACGGUACCGUAAGAAUAAGCACCGGCUAACUACGUGCCAGCAGCCGCGGUAAUACGUAGGGUGCGAGCGUUAAUCGGAAUUACUGGGCGUAAAGCGUGCGCAGGCGGUCUUGCAAGACAGUGGUGAAAUCCCCGGGCUCAACCUGGGAACUGCCAUUGUGACUGCAAGGCUGGAGUACGGCAGAGGGGGAUGGAAUUCCGCGUGUAGCAGUGAAAUGCGUAGAUAUGCGGAGGAACACCGAUGGCGAAGGCAGUCCCCUGGGCCUGUACUGACGCUCAUGCACGAAAGCGUGGGGAGCAAACAGGAUUAGAUACCCUGGUAGUCCACGCCCUAAACGAUGUCAACUGGUUGUUGGGGAUUUAUUUCCUCAGUAACGAAGCUAACGCGUGAAGUUGACCGCCUGGGGAGUACGGCCGCAAGGUUAAAACUCAAAGGAAUUGACGGGGACCCGCACAAGCGGUGGAUGAUGUGGUUUAAUUCGAUGCAACGCGAAAACCUUACCCACCUUUGACAUGUACGGAAUCC